rnacentral:snoRNA from 1 species
ACGCUUCUGUGAUGUUUUAGCACUGGGCUCUGAACUCCUGUGAAGACACCGUGCAAUUCUGCUCCUGACAUGGCAGAAUCUGAGAAGUGC